rnacentral:misc_RNA from 1 species
UACGGAGGGUGCAAACGUUGCUCGGAAUCACUGGGCGUAAAGCGAGCGUAGGCGGCAAUGUAAGUCGGGUGUGAAAGCCCUCGGCUCAACCGAGGAAGUGCAUUCGAAACUGCAUAGCUAGAGUACUGGAGAGGGUAACGGAAUUCCCGGUGUAGAGGUGAAAUUCGUAGAUAUCGGGAGGAACACCAGAGGCGAAGGCGGUUACCUGGACAGAUACUGACGCUGAGGCUCGAAAGCGUGGGGAGCAAACAGG